AAAACGACUCUCGGCAACGGAUAUCUCGGCUCUCGCAUCGAUGAAGAACGUAGCGAAAUGCGAUACUUGGUGUGAAUUGCAGAAUCCCGUGAACCAUCGAGUCUUUGAACGCAAGUUGCGCCCUAAGCCUUCUGGCCGAGGGCACGUCUGCCUGGGU
rnacentral:rRNA from 1 species